UUCAUACAAACAUAUUCUUAAAA
rnacentral:snRNA from 1 species